rnacentral:rRNA from 1 species
GACGAACGCUGGCGGCGUGCUUAAUACAUGCAAGUCAACUGAACUUGAGGUAGUAAUAUUUCAAGGGAGGUGGCGCACGGGUGAGUAACACGUAGGUAAUCUGCCUUUAGGUCUGACAUAAUUCCGCGAAAGCGGGACUAAUAUCAGAUGAUGCAGCGGCUCGACAUCGAGACAGUUGUUAAAUCUUCGGAGCCUAAAGAUGAGCCUGCGUCUGAUAGGUAGUUGGCGGAGUAAAAGCCCACCAAGCCUGCGAUCAGUAGCUGGUCUGAGAGGAUGAUCAGCCACACUGGAACUGAGACACGGUCCAGACUCCUACGGGAGGCAGCAGUAAGGAAUAUUGCUCAAUGGCCGAAAGGCUGAAGCAGCAACGCCGCGUGGAGGAUGAAAUACUUUUGUAUGUAAACUCCUGUAAGAAGGGAAAAU